rnacentral:rRNA from 1 species
GACUGCCAGUGAUAAACUGGAGGAAGGUGGGGAUGACGUCAAGUCAUCAUGGCCCUUACGACCAGGGCUACACACGUGCUACAAUGGCGCAUACAAAGAGAAGCGACCUCGCGAGAGCAAGCGGACCUCAUAAAGUGCGUCGUAGUCCGGAUUGGAGUCUGCAACUCGACUCCAUGAAGUCGGAAUCGCUAGUAAUCGUGGAUCAGAAUGCCACGGUGAAUACGUUCCCGGGCCUU